rnacentral:misc_RNA from 1 species
CCCUUCUGUGAACAGGUUUCUCAUAAGCUUCAGGGAAAUUACUCGCAUCUUUCUGAAGCCUCUCUAGGUGUUUUUACUGGCAGAUGUUUCAGUAAAUGAUGGUACAUUUAGAGCCUUUUCUAGCUAAUAUGUUCAUUUUCCUAUUCGCUUGUAUCAUAAAUGCAACACAAGUGAUGGUUAUCUUGGUGAACGCCUAGUUAUAUGCCUUAUUGGCAGUUAUAUACUUUCUGUUGAGAAGAAGAAAGGAUGUGAUCCUCUCUACAUUUGAAAUGGCCGUUUUCCUUCAGUUGCAAGUUUCUUCUAGUUGUUUAACACUUUUACUGUUUUUGUCCAUCAUUCUUGCAAAUCCAAACCUAGUUCCUGCACUUAAUGGUUUUCACUAGUCUGAGUGGACUUGCUUAUAAUGGGUAAAGCUUGAAACUUUGAUCAGUCUGGGCAGUAACACUUACAGUACUAAAUGCUGUCAAUUUUGUUGAAUAUACUGUACAUUGGCUGGAGCAUGUUGCCCAUUUUAGUUCCUUAGAAAUUUGGUGAAUUUUCCUGCAAUGCAAUUUGGUGAACCAUUAUUUAUUCUUAAUGGCAUAAGGAUUGGUUUCUUCUGCUAGUGUUUUUAUCAUUAUGAUUAUAUUCAUUUUUGCUGUUCGCUGUAUCAGAAUACAAGAGAGACUGCUCAUGCAAUUCGGAAGUUGCAUUUAGCCAAGGCUAAAAGGUACUUGGAGGAUGUUAUGGCACACAAGCAAGCUAUCCCAUUCCGUCGUUUCUGUGGUGGUGUUGGGCGAACUGCACAGGC